rnacentral:rRNA from 1 species
CCUCCUUUGUUCCGCCGUGGGGCCUCUUGGGCCCUGGGCGCCCGCCUGCCCCAGCAACGCCGCGUGAAGGAAGAAGGCUUUCGGGUUGUAAACUUCUUUUGUCAGGGAAGAGUAGAAGACGGUACCUGACGAAUAAGCCACGGCUAACUACGUGCCAGCAGCCGCGGUAAUACGUAGGUGGCAAGCGUUGUCCGGAUUUACUGGGUGUAAAGGGCGUGUAGCCGGGUUGACAAGUCAGAUGUGAAAUCCUGCGGCUUAACCGCAGAACUGCAUUUGAAACUGUUGAUAUUGAGUACUGGAGAGGCAGACGGAAGUCCUAGUGUAGCGGUGAAAUGCGUAGAUAUUAGGAGGAACACCAGUGGCGAAGGCGGUCUGCUGGACAGCAACUGACGGUGAGGCGCGAAAGCGUGGGGAGCAAACAGGAUUAGAUACCCCAGUAGUC